rnacentral:rRNA from 1 species
UACGGAGGGAGCGAACGUUGUUCGGAUUCACUGGGCGUAAAGGGCGUGUAGGCGGUCUGGCAAGUCAGGGGUGAAAUACCGCGGCUCAACCGUGGAAUUGCCUUUGAAACUACCGGACUUGAGGCCGUGAGAGGAGACUGGAAUUCCCAGUGUAGCGGUGAAAUGCAUAGAUAUUGGGAAGAACACCAGUGGCGAAGGCGAGUCUCUGGCACGGUUCUGACGCUGAUGCGCGAAAGCUAGGGGAGCAAACGGG